rnacentral:misc_RNA from 1 species
AAAAAAAAAAAAAAAAAAAAAAUUCAACACCAAUCUCAAGCAUCCUUUUCAAGUUACAGGUAAGUUUAUUACUAGAUCAUAAGCAAGAAAUUUUCCACUCAAUAUGCCAUAUUUCAUCCACAACAUGAAAUCUUUGAUGCAGGAACAAUCACUUCAAUCUCAUCCACACCUUUUUGACCAAACUUGAAAGUGGUGAUUAUCAUGACCAAUCUCAGUCCAGUGUGCUUGAAGCAAAACUGAGCAGUGCCCAGAAAGCAAUAUGAUAAUAUGAAUCAUGAUUUGACUUCAAAACAAAGAAAAAUUUUGAAAGAAACCCCAUAACAUUCAGAUGGGGACAGGCUGGCAUUGGUUUCUAAAGUCUAUAAGCAAUUUUGAUACCACAACAAAUCAUGGGGCAGAGCUUUUAAUUCUACAGAAUUUUGGUUGUUAAAUGCAUGUGGUGAAAGUGUAGGUAAGGUAACAUACAAAUUUAUAUGAUAUGCCACUAUUUCUUUUUAAAUUGAACUUAAUAUUCCAAACCUAAAUAAAAUUUUGAACUACUAUGAAAUUACAAGCAAUUAUCAAUAACUUUUUAAGGACAUUGUCAAUAGUUCAUGAAUAACAAAAAGAUUAAAUAAUAAUUGUUAUGGAAAGUCAAUCACUAUGUUAUGGAAAGUCAAUCACUAUAUUAUUUCUCUGUAUAUUCUGUAUUCUGUAUUCCUAUUUAGGAUUUCUUAUUUAGGAUUUC